GCCAAAUUCUAGAUAAUUGCAACAUACCAAUGGUUCCUGAACUUUAAUCUAUAUCAGAAUCACCUGGAAGGCUUAAUAAACUCCAGAUUCCAGAACUACAUCCCUAGAGUUGCUGAUUUAGUUGAUUUGGGAAGGAACCUGAGAAUUUGCAUUUUUAAAAAGUUCCUAGGUGAUACUGAUGCUACUCGUCUGGGGACCUCACUCAGAAUGACUACAAUAUCUUACUAUAAUGUGAUUUCUAUGAAGAAUCUACAGUGAUGCUGAGGUUCUUCUUCUUUGUCCUUAUCUCCUGUUCAAAUCUCAUCAUUGUCAGGCAUCAUUAACAAAGGUGAAGAUACUGGUAUCGUGAUUAGCUAUUCCAGAUAUGAUCUGAUAUGAUGAAGACACAAAAAUUGCCAUAUACCAUGCUCAAUCUCUGGUCAUCAAACACAUUGUGGAUCUAUGAAGCGUACUUCAUUGAGGGUUUGUUAAAAUGAUGAUAAAGACAGAGAAUGAGUAGAUUUUAUCAUUUCCAAGGGAAUUUUCUGCAACAAUGGAGUUUUCAUUUUUCUCAACAAGCCAUCUGAUUGAUAACAACGUCUAAGUGAAGUAAUAGACAAGCCUUAGUAAUUUGUGGCUACUCACAUAUAAAAGUGUACUCCCACAAAUGGAGUUCCUAUAUUUAUCUCCUCACUUGGCUUUCAAAAUUGUUGAGCUACUCCUUUUUCUAAUUAUGAAUGAAAUAUUCUUACACUUUUUUUUAUAAAACACUAAGCUUUAGAAUAUCCUAAUUACCUUGUUAUGAUUAAAAUACUUUUUACAUUACUUUUCUCUUCUUACCAAUUCUGAGUUGAUUUUAUAUGAUUCAUUUAUUCCUGGUGAUUAAAAUCCUAUAGAAAUAGCCAUGAGCUAUUACAAUUGGCUAGUAGUUGAGUUUGUUCAAGUUAUUUCCAGCAUAUACAUUAAAAAUUAAAUUAUUUUAACCUUCAAGGCCAAUUAUACGUCUUACCCUUGAGAAUGACAUUGUCAAUGACACUGAAAACUGCCAGAGAACUGUGAAUAAAAGAUGUAAAAUGAGGAAAUAAGCACUGGGGAACCCUGGGAUAUGGAUAAGCAAAUGCCAUCAUUUGGAUAAGGCUGGAGGCACAUUUGGCCAGAGCACUAGGUUUCUGGCCUUGACCUCCCAGGUCCUGCUGUCAGACAUGAAGCCUUCAGUUAUGCUUGUAGCAGCCAUCUCUCUGGCUGCCAACUCCAAUCCUUUACAAAAAGCCAAAGCACUUCC